GUGAAUCAUCGAAUUUUUGAACGCAAAUUGCACUCCCUUCGGAGAUAAUGCCUGUUUGAGGGUCAGCCUAAAAAAAUCGACAUAGUUGCUGUUACGCGGUAACAUUCGUCGGAAAUCGGGUCAUCUUAAACCUUUGGGUUUAAUCGGCUUAAAAUUUUCUUUACGAUUCCAAGAACGUUUCUAAGAUUUUAUUUUCUUAUACGUUUAAGGUAUCGAUCUUUUUUAGACUUUCCAGUUCAGUCGGAGUUCGG
rnacentral:misc_RNA from 1 species